CACGCCUCCUCCGGGACCGGAGGCGGGUGGCUGCGCUCGGUCGGGUGUCGCGCGUGGGGGCUAAACUGCAAGGGCUCAUGAGGUUGGGGCUGUUCCCAGGCCCAAGCGUGUUCCUGCGCGCUUCUUCUUGCUCCCUUUGCUUGGUCUUUCCUGGGUUUUUGUUGUUGUUUUUACUCAGAAGUGUAGUUUCUAAGUAAAUGAAGGCAUUACACGCCACAGAUUUGCGCAGGGGAGUCAGAUCCCCUGGCUCACCCUGAGGGAGGCUGGCCUCAGCAACAGAAAGCCAGAGCUCGGAUUCUCCCGCAGUGUGGAGCCAGUCCUCUUAGCUAGCCUUGAACAGCGUGGGAAAAGGCGGCUGUACCAAGUUGUAGAUGCCGGGCUUGAAGAGAAGAAUAGGUAUAUCUACGAAGUUAUGCUUACGAAGAUUGGAGACACCUUAGAAAGGAAGACUCAGUAGAAUUUUGUGAAACUUGGAUAAAUAGGUUGUUUGACUUACCAACAGUGGUUGGAGGAGGUCUUCGAGAGGUCAUGGCCUCUGAUCGACCUGUGAGGAGGGGCAAUUGGAGGCUCCUGACCCCCUCCCCUGUCUCGGGAAGGUGCGUUCCUUGAUUCCACUGCCACAGCGCCGCAGGGACGGACGCAGGCGGCCUUCAGAAAAACCACCAGGAGGGCGUUCGUGGGGAAUGAAUGCAGGAUAUUACUGUGAACUACAAGCAAUUUGUUCCUGUGUAGAGCUGCAAUAUUAACAAGAAGCUGGGCGGUCUGAUGAGUUUUCCUUCAUCUCUCAGGGCAACGGAGUAUGAAGAAAUGGGAAGAAAAUGUUUGCUGACUGCUGCUCUAGGACGUUCAUCAACACAGAUGACCAGGGCUCACACCAGUGUUCCUGAAAGCCAGUGAAGUUUAUAGAUCUUCAAAAUGGAGAUCACAAUAUUUCUGCUAUCGAAGGACUGCGAAGCCUACAUGAGUAUUCUGAGCACUGUAGGGACUCAAGAAAGAAUUGAAUAUGAUUUCUUUCUGGAGAACCGGGGCCUAUUCACAUGGAAGGUUAACUAUCAACAGAAGCUCCAAGAACAAAAAUAAGUGGAAUUUGGAAAUAAGGUAAAUGAUUAAUUGUCAAAGAAGCACACAAGCGAAAGGAAACCUCUGAAAGUGAAGACGUGCUGUAUCCAAAAAGGCCAGGAAGAAAGAAGUGUUUCAUUAUUAUGUUUAGAGAUUAUGCAGUAGCAAUUUAUAUAUUAAAGAUUACAUCAAGAGAAAAUUUAGUUAUUAUUAAAUGGACAGUUAUAGUUAAUCAAAGUAAGAUAUGGAUGUGAAAAUAAUACGGAGAUGGUUAACAAUAGUUAACUAGAUUAAUUAAUGUCAAUUAAGCAUCCUGAAUUCAUUAAAGCCCUUACAUAAAUCAGAACUUUCCUUUUCAUGAGAAAUUCUUGUAAUGGGUUGGGAUGAUCUUGUUGGACUUUGAUUGCAGCUUUCACUCAACGACUCUGAUCUCGUUGAGCAGUUGUGAUAAGGCUAGCUGCAUCCAAAAUGAGCAUGUAUCAGUAUUGUAACACCUUUAGGUCUAUCACCCCUACAAAACCCUUGUCACUUUAGUUUAAUUGCAAAUUCCCUGGAGAGCCUCCUCUAAUGACCCAUUUACAUUAAAGCUUUUAAAUUAGAUUUCAAUCUUAAUUUCACUUGAAAUGUUACCCUGGAGUAAUCAUUCCAUUAUAAAUCAUUUUAUUUGAUUUUAUGGAAUUGCUCAAUUACAAGAGAAGUAUUGAAAUAAAGUGCAGCUAUAUUGAGAAAAGCAGAGAGACAAAAGCAGAGUCUGUUUGACUUUGGGAAAAUGUUAUCAGUCAGGGCAAAACUUAGUCAUUUAUAAGCCACACAAUGUCUUACAGUACUGAACUGUGGUGUAUUUUGUACCAGAGAUAAUUGGAGUACUGUGGCAAUUUGAAUGGAUAUCAAGGCUUUAAACUGGGGGAGGAAGCACAGGAGAAUGCCAAGACCAUUCCAGAUCAAGGUAGGCUGCUUCUUUCCCUUCUGGAAAAAUUGCUGACCCCCAGAGGCCAUCUUUAAUGACUGAGUGGCAUUUCAGAAAUUACCUUCUUUCAGUAUGUGUUCCAUUUACACAAUGUAUGUGUUAUUGAGUCUGUUUGGGUUGACAGCUCCUCACCCUUGGUAUAUUUUAUUUAAGCUUCACUCUAUACUUGGCAACAUUCCUGUGUGCUCAAUGUGAAAACUUUUUGACAAUGUCUUUUCAACCUAGUUUGGGGCGGGUCAGGAUGCUUUUUAUUAUUAAAAAUAAGCCACAUUUACAUUCUUUGAUUAGCAAAUUCAGGGAGAUAAGGAAGGAAAGAUAGGUAGGGAUUUUAUAUCAAUAAGCAGUACAUAAGUCUUAGAAUUGGAAGGGACCCUAGAUACAAAUGACUCAACCUCCAGAUUCUACAAAAGGGGCACUGAAGCUCUGAAUUUAGUGACUUGCUUCAGUUGGGCCCAGUGGGAAUUCUAGUUAUGGACAGAGCAGGAGGUAGCAACUGAGAACUUCAGCAUAUUUCUCUCCAUAAUUCACGCUCUAGAAAUACAGAUUUCUUUAAAAAAAAAAAUCCAAAGGGGUUGAUUUACAUUCUCUGUAAAGAAAUGAGAUGGUGCUUAUAAACACCAA